UACGAAGGGGCUAGCGUUGCUCGGAAUCACUGGGCGUAAAGCGCACGUAGGCGGCUUUUUAAGUCAGAGGUGAAAUCCUGGAGCUCAACUUCAGAACUGCCUUUGAUACUGGAGAGCUGAGUCCGGGAGAGGUGAGUGGAACUGCGAGUGUAGAGGUGAAAUUCGUAGAUAUUCGCAAGAACACCAGUGGCGAAGGCGGCUCACUGGCCCGGUACUGACGCUGAGGUGCGAAAG
rnacentral:rRNA from 1 species